GGAUGUGGCGGUGAUCUGGCUGCAACACCAGCCCCCCCACCUUGGUCAUCAGUGCUGAUUUGGGUGAUCAGGCUGGCUAGUCGGGUGUCUGCUGCCCCCAUCACAACUGUGAUGUCCCUCCUUGAGCUUUGUGCUCAAUGGAUGAUGACCUUUCACAGUAUUCUCACUGUUCAGAGUAGAUACUGACUGUUCUUCAGUUGAGGGGAAAUAAGUGGCUGUUCACCCCUGAUAAAACCUCCAAAUAAGCAUUCAAAAAUGAGCUGCCAUGGGCGGUAGCACAGCAGGUUAAGUGCACGUGGCGCAAAGUGC
ensembl:misc_RNA 7SK 7SK RNA